rnacentral:rRNA from 1 species
GACGAACGCUGGCGGCAUGCCUAACACAUGCAAGUCGAACGAAACCUCCGGGUCCAGGGGCGCCCGGGGGCGUAACGCGUGGGAUCCUGCCCUUGUGUUCGGCAUAACUCUCCGAAAGGGGUGCUAAUAACGGAUAAUAUCUUCGGACCAAAGAUUUUUCGCCUUUGGAUGGGCCCGCGUUGCAUUAGGUAGUUGGUAGGGUAAAAGCCUACCAAGGCGACGAUCCAUAGCUGGGCUGAGAGGAUGAUCAGCGACACUGGGACUGAGACACGGCCCAGACUCGUACGGGAGGCAGGAGUGGGGGAUAGUGGACAGUGGGCGAAAGCCUGAUCCACCAAGGCCGCGAGAAUGAUGAUGGCCUUGGAGUUGUAAUGCGCUUUUACCCGGGCUGAUAAUGACGGUACCGGGAGAAUAAGCCCCGGCUAACUACGUG